rnacentral:lncRNA from 1 species
GUCCUCAUUUGUCGUGAUAUAAACCCCGUAUGGCUUUAGCUAGGAAUAAAUCCAAGUUCAAUCCACUAUUUUCUACAUCAGAAAUAGUGAUUCAAAGAAAUGUAAAAUUUAACCUUCAAAAAAAGAUUCUAAAAAAAAAGAAAUAUCCUACAUUGCCUGUACGAAGUCAGGAAUAUGACAUUUGUUUUCCGUUCGUUCGAUGUGUU